CAGUCGCCGCGGUAAUACGAAGGGGGCUAGCGUUGCUCGGAAUGACUGGGCGUAAAGGGCGCGUAGGCGGCGGCCAAAGUCAGGCGUGAAAUUCCCGGGCUCAACCUGGGGGCUGCGUUUGAUACUUGGUUGCUUGAGUGGGGAAGAGGGUUGUGGAAUUCCCAGUGUAGAGGUGAAAUUCGUAGAUAUUGGGAAGAACACCGGUGGCGAAGGCGGCGACCUGGUCCUUGACUGACGCUGAGGCGCGAAAGCGUGGGGAGCAAACAGGAUUAGAUACCCCCGUAGUCCCUGUCUCUUAUAU
rnacentral:rRNA from 1 species